AGCAGCCGCGGUAAUUCCAGCUCCAAUAGCGUAUAUUAAAGUUGUUGCAGUUAAAAAGCUCGUAGUUGAAUUUCGGGAUCAGUACGCUGGUCGUGCCUUUGGUAUGUACUGGUGUCACUGAUUCCUCCCUUCUGAAGAACCGUUAUGCCAUUUAUUUGGUGUGGCGGGAAAUCAGGACUGUUACUUUGAAAAAAUUAGAGUGUUUAAAGCAGGCUCGCGCUUGAAUACAUUAGCAUGGAAUAAUGAAAUAGGACGUUUGAUCUUAUUUUGUUGGUUUUCUAGGAUCGACGUAAUGAUUAAUAGGGAUAGUUGGGGGCAUUAGUAUUCAAUUGUCAGAGGUGAAAUUCUUGGAUUUAUUGAAGACUAACUACUGCGAAAGCAUUUGCCAAGGAUGUUUUC
rnacentral:rRNA from 1 species